UACGUAGGGUGCAAGCGUUAAUCGGAAUUACUGGGCGUAAAGCGUGCGCAGGCGGCUUUGCAAGACAGAUGUGAAAUCCCCGGGCUCAACCUGGGAACUGCAUUUGUGACUGCAUGGCUGGAGUGCGGCAGAGGGGGAUGGAAUUCCGCGUGUAGCAGUGAAAUGCGUAGAUAUGCGGAGGAACACCGAUGGCGAAGGCAAUCCCCUGGGCCG
rnacentral:rRNA from 1 species